CCUACGGGUGGCUGCAGUGGGGAAUAUUGGACAAUGGGGGCAACCCUGAUCCAGCCAUGCCGCGUGUGUGAAGAAGGCCCUCGGGUUGUAAAGCACUUUCAGUGAGGAAGAACGCCUGGUGGUUAAUACCCAUCAGGAAAGACAUCACUCACAGAAGAAGCACCGGCUAACUCCGUGCCAGCAGCCGCGGUAAUACGGAGGGUGCGAGCGUUAAUCGGAAUUACUGGGCGUAAAGCGCGCGUAGGUGGCUUGAUAAGCCGGUUGUGAAAGCCCCGGGCUCAACCUGGGAACGGCAUCCGGAACUGUCAAGCUAGAGUGCAGGAGAGGAAGGUAGAAUUCCCGGUGUAGCGGUGAAAGGCGUAGAGAUCGGGAGGAAUACCAGUGGCGAAGGCGGCCUUCUGGACUGACACUGACACUGAGGUGCGAAAGCGUGGGUAGCAAACAGGAUUAGAUACCCUGGUAGUC
rnacentral:rRNA from 1 species